ensembl:lncRNA
AUGGAUAGACACACUCUUAGAAAGAGAGCAGUAAAAAAGGUAAAUUCUUUAAUUGCCUCUUUUCACAAUGAGGAGGAUGACUUUGCUGCAUGUGGCUCUGAGAGUGCUGUAGUGAACUGUGGUUUAGAAAACCAGGAUCAGGGACAUGGGAUCAGGGAUCAAUCACUGUCGGACAGUGAUGAUGAAUCCCAGGAUGAUGACAUGGGAAAUGGCAUGUCUUUGGAUGAGUCUUUAUCUGAUUGGGCUGUUCAUUUCAGGGUGCCUUUGGUGGCUUUGACUGCCCUUCUUUCUAUCUUGAGAGUCCAUCACCCCUCAUUACCAAAGGAUGCUAGGACUCUCCUAAAAACCACAACCUCGUACACCAUCCAUGACCUUGCAGGUGGUACUUACUACUAUUUUGGCAUUUGGAAGGCCUUUGAGAAAAGCUUGGCACACAUCUGGUCUUGUAUUCCAAACAAGCAUGUGUUCAGAUUGCAGCUGAAUGUAGAUGGCUUACCUUUGUUUAGGAGUUCUUCAUUACAGUUUUGGCCAAUCCUCGGUUUGCUACAGGGUGUUAAGAAAAAGCCUGUUGUCAUUGCUCUGUUUUGUGGCAACUCAAAGCCAAAUUGUCUCACUGACUAUCUUAGAGAUUUGGUCCAUGAAUUGGAAGAGCUGAGCAAAGGAUUUGUUCUCCAUGGAAAACAGUGCUUCAUAAAGUUGACAUCUGUGGUCUGUGAUACUCCUGCCAGAGCUUUCAUUAAAGGGACUAAAACUCACACUGGUUACUCUGGUUGUGAUAAGUGUAUUCAAAAGGGUCUUUAUCUUAAACAUAGGAUGACUUUUCCUGAGGUAAACAGCCCAUGCCGCUCUGAUCUUUCUUUUGAACAAAUGUCUGACAAAGAACAUCAUGUCAUAAACUCUCCGUUAAAAGAUGUAGGAAUUGGUAUGGUGUCAGGUUUUCCUCUUGACUACAUGCACCUUGUCUGCCUUGGUGUUGUACGUAAACUUCUAGAUUUAUGGUUUACAGCAGGGCCAAUGUCUUGCCGCUUGUCCAUUCGGCAAAUGCAACAAAUAUCUAGGAAACUUCUAGGCUCAAAGCCUUUCAUUCCAGUGGAGUUUGCUCGUAAACCCAGGGGGCUCUUAGAGAGGCUGAGAUGGAAAGCAACAGAGUUGCGCCAGUUUUUGUUGUACACAGGGCCUGUGUUUCUCUUUAAUGAGGUGUCUGCUCCUGUCUAUAACAACUUCAUGUUAUUAUCAGUUGCCGUUUUCAUUCUUGCCAGCCCUUCAUUGUCUGCAUCUCUUAAUGAUUUUGCAUCGAAAUUGCUGGUCUCCUUUGUAACACACUUCAGUGAGUUGUAUGGUCCUGAAUUUGUUACAUACAAUGUUCAUGGUCUCAUUCACCUUCCAGACGAUGUUAAACUUCAUGGACAUCUGGACUUAAUAUCUUCAUUUCCAUUUGAGGAUUAUUUGGGUAAGAUGAAGAAGAUGGUUAGAACUUCACACCAUCCACUUGCUCAGGUUGUUCGUCGAAUUUCUGAGAUGGAUAAAUUUACAGAGAAUGAGGAUUCACAGGGAAAGCUCAAGUUGCAAAAGGAGCACAACCAUGGACCAGUUCCAUCCUCCCUAAUGGAUUUAAAAGUAGUUCAGUUUGAGGAACUUCUUUUAAACGGUACAACAAUCAAAAUAUCAGUUGAGGGGGACAGAUGUGUAAAGAUUGGUGACCAUAUUGCUUUGAUAGAAAACAUUUUAAAGUCUCUGGGCAAGAUUUACAUUGUCUUUAGAGAAUAUGAACAGAUGGAGCCUUUUUAUGAGUAUCCUCUGAAUUCUCAGAUUUUGGGUGUAUAUGUGGUUGGCAAAAUCUCUUCACAGCUAAAAGUCAUGGAGGUGCAUGGGCACAUAAUGAAAUAUGUGAGGCUACCACACAAUGACAGUUUUGUUGCAGUACCACUUCUGCACACAAAACAAUGA